GGACUUCAAAGACAUUAUCACGUGACUGCUAUCGCGCUUGCCCGGAUACGACAUGGCUAAAAGGGCUGCUGGGACGGCGUUGAAUAGGGACACAGAACUAGACGUAAAGGAAGCGCCAGAAGAGCGCGGCACGUUUUCUAAAGCUUCUGUCGACGUCCUGAAGGAAAGAGAAAUCAAGUCGGCGAGGAGACACGUGACCAGCAAUGCUCCGGUAAGCAUAGCGUGCGCGCGUUAGCUGCAGACCCCAUAUGAUAAUCAACAGGCACAAACAGAUGGAUAGUUAGGCAGGGAUACUGAUGGACGAAUAGGUUUGCAGGCUUAUUGACCGGCACAUGAAUAGUUUAAUUGGUGAAAAAAUGUGUUAUCAUGUUGACAGACAGACAGACA